AUUGAUAUUAUUUUAUUUUUAUUGUAUUCUUAUAUUUAUUUAUAUUACUCUUGAUUGUAAUGGACGAUUAGUACUUUAUUUUUAUUUAUAUAAAAUAAUAUCUUUUAGUUUGGUUAAAUUUGCUAUUUAAGUUUGCUUUUGGUGUGAAUGGUGGUGAUUGUACAGGUGUGAAUGGUGGUGAUUGUACAGGUUUAUGUUAGAAUAAUUGAUAUAAUUUU
rnacentral:lncRNA from 1 species